GGCUUCGGAGAUGUAAGUGUGCGGCAGGUCUCAGGAUGGGGUGAGUAACACGUGGGGAACCUGCCCUUCGCAUAGUCUGGGAUACCAAGAGCUUGGAAACAGGUGCUAAUACCGGAUAAGAAAGCAGAUCGCAUGAUCAGCUUAUAAAAGGCGGCGUAAGCUGUCGCUAUGGGAUGGCCCCGCGGUGCAUUAGCUAGUUGGUAGGGUAACGGCCUACCAAGGCAAUGAUGCAUAGCCGAGUUGAGAGACUGAUCGGCCACAUUGGGACUGAGCGACACGGCCCAAACUCCUACGGGAGGCAGCAGUAGGGAAUCUUCCACAAUGAGAGAGAUGUGGUGUUUUGGACGAAAGUCUGAUGGAGCAACGCCGCGUGAGUGAAGAAGGUUUUCGGAUCGUAAAGCUCUGUUGUUGGACGGUGGUUGAAGAAGGAUAGAGGUAGUAACUGGCCUUUAUUUGACGGUAAUCAACCAGAAAGUCACGGCUAACUACGAAGUCGCGAGGAUUUUGCCAGCAGCCGCGGUAAUAUAA
rnacentral:rRNA from 1 species